GAUGAAGAACGUAGCGAAAUGCGAUAAGUAGUGUGAAUUGCAGAAUUCAGUGAAUCAUCGAAUCUUUGAACGCACAUUGCGCCCCUGGUAUUCCAUGGGGCAUGCCUGUUCGAGCGUCAUUUGUACCUUCAAGCUUUGCUUGGUGUUGGGUGUUUGUCUCGCCUUUGCGUGUAGACUCGCCUUAAAAUAAUUGGCAGCCGGCGUAUUGAUUUCGGAGCGCAGUACAUCUCGCGCUUUGCACUCAUAACGACAGCGUCCAAAAGUACAUUUUACACUCUUGACCUCGGAUCAGGUAGGGAUACCCGCUGAACUUAAGCAUAUCAAUAAGCGGAGGA
rnacentral:misc_RNA from 1 species